AGUAUGAUGUUGACACCGCUGGGCAGUCACUGUAGGCAGUCGGUAAUACCGCAGUCGGCAAGACAGCCGAACCCAUGUCAAGUGAGACCACUCGCAAAGGUGAAAUAGUGAGGAAACGCUGUCAUGUGAGGAAAGAAAAAGAAAAAAAAGUUGAAUCAAAACAAACUAAGAAAUUGUGCGUGAGGAAAAUAGUCGGAGAAUAAUCUUUUUUAUUGCGAAAAAUUAAGUUUAAGUAAAGUAAAAAUUCGAAGAUUUAGUUGUAGAGCAGUCUACUCUCUGUACUACUGUCACCGUACGUCAAUUUGGACGGCUAGCAAAUUGAUAGUGCAGCAAGAAGAGGCUCAGAGGAGAUUAAAUCUGCUGAAUAUUUUAUCGCGCCACCCGAAUAUCUGUCGUCGUUCGCUGAGUCGGACGACAAGCAAACCGAAGGAGUAGCAGGAGAGAAAAGGAGAAGGUGAAAUCAGGAAAGAUUCGACAUUGGAAGAACGAGGAUACUAUUUAAUUUUUGAGCUGCUGCUGAUAGUGCUGCUACAAAAAUAUAGUUUCUGGUUCAUCCGAACAAACUCAAAAAUUAAAUAGCGAGAUUUCGGAUAACCUCAAUCACGAUGAGCGAAUCGAACAUGGAUUUCACUAUGACUCCGUGUGAAGCUUGCGGGAAGGUAUCAACGCAGAACGAGGAGAUGAUUGCCUGUGACAGCUGUGAGCGCUGGUAUCACUCCCGUUGCGUGGAAGUUACUGUGGCGACAAAAAAGGACACGAAAUGGUUCUGUCCCGAAGAUGGUUGCCAAGCAGUUUCCCAAUCUUACCAGAAGCAGAAGAAGGCAAACCGUUCGAAGAAGAAUACGGAGGAAUCGGACCGAUC